rnacentral:rRNA from 1 species
CCUACGGGAGGCAGCAGUGAGGAAUAUUGGUCAAUGGGCGCUAGCCUGAACCAGCCAAGCCGCGUGAAGGAUGACUGCCCUAUGGGUUGUAAACUUCUUUUAUAUGGGAAUAAAGUGCAGUAUGUAUACUGCUUUGCAUGUACCUUAUGUAUAAGGAUAGGCUAAGUCCGUGCCAGCAGACGCGGUAAUACGGAGGAUCCGAGCGUUACGCGGAUUUAUUGGGUUUAAAGGGAGCGUAGGCGGGUUGUUAAGUCAGUUGUGAAAGUUUGCGGCUCAACCGUAAAAUUGCAGUUGAUACUGGCAUCCUGGAGUACAGUAGAGGUAGGCGGAAUUCGUGGUGUAGCGUUGAAAUGCUUAGAUAUCACGAAGAACUCCGAUUGCGAAGGCAGCCUGCUGGACUGUAACUGACGCUGAUGCUCGAAAGUGUGGGUAUCAAACAGGAUUAGAUACCCGAGUAGUC